GUGACUUUGGCUCAAAUUUUAUGCCCGAGUAGAUUGUGUCCACAGAAACUCGAGGUAUUAUACUAGAUGCGAAAUACAACGUUUUAGAAAAACAUUAAAACUAAGUCUAAAGUCAGAUAAGGUUUUCAUAUAGUCAUAAGUCAGAACAUAAUACUCGCCUUUUAAGCAAAAGCGAAAAGAUUAUUUUCGCCACAAUUUCAGGCUAUAGCCUUUACUUUUCGUCCAUUUUUAGCGACUUUUUCAUUUUUCAUAAAUGGACUAUGGCUAUAGCCUUACUUUUUUGCUGUUUUUUGCCCAUUUAUGAAAAAUGGAAA